rnacentral:rRNA from 1 species
GACGAACGCUGGCGGCGUGCUUAACACAUGCAAGUCGAACGGAAAUGCCCUGCUUUUGUGGGGUGCUCGAGUGGCGAACGGGUGAGUAACACGUGAGUAACCUGCCCUUGACUUUGGGAUAACUUCAGGAAACUGGGGCUAAUACCGGAUAGGAGCUCCUGCUGCAUGGUGGGGGUUGGAAAGUUUCGGCGGUUGGGGAUGGACUCGCGGCUUAUCAGCUUGUUGGUGGGGUAGUGGCUUACCAAGGCUUUGACGGGUAGCCGGCCUGAGAGGGUGACCGGCCAAAUUGGGAAUGAGAUACGGCCCAGACUCCUAAGGGAGGCAGCAGUGGGGAAUAGUGCAAAAUGGGCGGAAGCCUGAUGCAGCAACGCCGCGUGCGGGAUGACGGCCUUCGGGUUGUAAACCGCUUUCGCCUGUGACGAAGCGUGAGUGACGGUAAUGGGUAAAGAAGCACCGGCUAACUACGUG